rnacentral:misc_RNA from 1 species
UGGUUCUGGCAUCGAUGAAGAACGCAGCGAAAUGCGAUAAGUAAUGUGAAUUGCAGAAUUCAGUGAACCAUCGAAUCUUUGAACGCACAUUGCACCCGGUGGUAUUCCGCCGGGUAUGCCUGUUCGAGCGUCAUUUCAACCAAUCCAGCCUUACUUAGGCUUGGGUCUUGGGCUCUUCGCCUUUGGGCGGGCCUUAAAAUCAGUGGCGGUGCCAUCGGGCUCUAAGCGCAGUAAUAUCUCUCGCUAUAGAUGGCGGAUGGUGUCCUGCCAACAACGACCAUUCUUAAAGGUUGACCUCGGAUCAGGUAGGGAUACCCGCUGA